ensembl:antisense Gm28180 predicted gene 28180
GCAGGGGAGGACACCAUUCUCUCUACCACAGUUUUGCCCCCCUACUUUGUCUCCUACCAUAUCCAAAGCUUGUAAAUAUUUCAAGUCUACAAUAAAAGCUUAUUUAAAAAGUAAAUACCAUAAAAUGUUAGCAAGCACAUUAUGUAUACCCUGGCCUACUGUAGUAGAAGGUAGUUCUUGAAAAGGGAACACAAAACACAAGAAUGACCUAUGAUAGUACUGCAGGACUGGGGGCCAUCAGCAAAGAACACACUUUUUAAGGAAGCUCUGUUGCUCUCCAAAUCAUAAUUCUGACCCCACAUCUAUGGAAAUGGCUCUGACAAGGACAAAGGAUCUAACAUCUUUCUGGGCUACAAGAUCACCUCUGCUUCAGGCUGGAAUGCUCUUCUCCAGAGAAUCCAGGAACUGACAUAUGUAAACACCCACCCAGAAGGACAUAUCCAAGAGGGAAUGGAAAGAAAAAUGAUGGUCCAGAUGUUCUGUAACUUGCAAUGACUGCCAAAUCACCGUGGACCCAAAGCACCUGGGAGGCCAGGCUGUGUCAGGCCUUACUUCCUGGUUUCAGACAGCCAGGGUCCUGUGGCUAGGUGGUGACUGUGACAGCCUGCAGACUAGAUGGGAGAGAACCCGUUAGAAGGGCACCAGCUGACAGAACUUGGGGGCUGAACACACAGAGCUUGAUUUAUCACUUCCUUACUCAUAAAAAUGUGAUUCAAAGUGCU